ACAGUGUUUACCAGUCAGUAAUAUUCCCCUAACUUCAGCAUUGACUUGACUGUUGAAUUCAGUAAGUGCUACUUGUUGGGGCAGUUGAAAAUGA
rnacentral:pre_miRNA from 13 species